CACCAUGCAUCAAUCUCUGGAUUGCAAACAUAAAUAUACAACACACGUACACAGAGAUAAAAGUGUAAAAGUCCAGAACAUGAUAAAGGAGAGAAUGCUUCUCAUCUACUAUUCUGUAAGGACAGAGCUUGCUUUUCUGUGCGUCCUAAGCCAUGGUCUAAUUCAUUUGUAGACAUCCAAUCCUAUCGAUGUGGCUGCCCGGCCUGGAACAGUCCCACACACUCUGCUCCAAAAGGACCCAAGGUUGACAGAUCCUUUCAGACCCAUGCUAAGGAAACCAGGGAAGGGGUGCGCCAUGCACGUGC